GACGAAGGGGGCAAGCGUUGUUCGGAAUUACUGGGCGUAAAGCGAGUGUAGGUGGUUGUCGUAGUCAGGCGUGAAAGCCUUGAGCUCAACUCAAGAAAUGCGCUUGAUACUGGGCAGCUAGAGGACCGGAGAGGAUAGUGGAAUUCCCAGUGUAGUGGUGAAAUACGUAGAGAUUGGGAAGAACACCAGUGGCGAAGGCGGCUAUCUGGACGGUUUCUGACACUAAGACUCGAAAGCGAUGGGGAGCAAACAGG
rnacentral:rRNA from 1 species